rnacentral:rRNA from 1 species
UCGGGAAUUUUGGGCAAUGGGCGAAAGCCUGACCCAGCAACGCCGCGUGAGGGAUGAAGUAUUUCGGUAUGUAAACCUCGAAAGAAUGGGAAGAAUAAAUGACGGUACCAUUUAUAAGCUCCGGCUAACUACGUGCCAGCAGCCGCGGUAAUACGUAGGGAGCAAGCGUUGUUCGGAUUUACUGGGCGUAAAGGGCGCGUAGGCGGCGCGGUAAGUCACUUGUGAAAUCUCUGAGCUUAACUCAGAACGGCCAAGUGAUACUGCUGUGCUAGAGUGCGGAAGAGGCAACCGGAAUUCUUGGUGUAGCGGUGAAAUGCGCAGAUAUCAAGAGGAACACCUGAGGCGAAGGCGGGUUGCUGGGCCGACACUGACGCUGAUGCGCGAAAGCCAGGGGAGCAAACG